rfam:Danio rerio chromosome 14 genomic contig CTG1748, GRCz11 reference primary assembly.
UACCACAAGCAUAUCACCCUGGAGCCCAAGACUGGUUACUCACUGAAGCUAAGCAGGGUUGAGCCUGGCCAGUACCUGGAUGGGAUACCACGUAAACCAGGUUGCUGUUGAAA